AUGUAUGUUGAAUUGAAUAUCAAAUGCUCAAGUGGCUCUCGCAAAUACAGCACAAAUGUGCCUUGUUAUGCAGGACACAGUCCAAGAAUUAUGUCUCAACACAUUAUAAAGAGGCACCAAGAGUCGCUGCCCUUCAAUGCAAGUGACAUAACAUCUGCUGGAGAGAACGUCUUCAAUGUUCAGAGUCAAACUUCACUGGAAAAACAUCAGGUGAACUUUGGUAAAGACGAUGAGAUGCCUUCAUGUACAUGCACGGACUGGCAGAGACAUCUUCUCCCAUGCCAGCAUUUCUGUGCUGUUUUUGCCUUAGUUCCUGGCUGGAGUUGGGAGAAUCUGAGUGCUGCGUACAGGAAGAACCCUCUCUUCACGUUUGACGAGGUUUGCCUGGGACAGUCUGCUACACUUCCUGCUGAUCUUCAAGGCGAAGAGGCUCUGAAGAAAAAUCAGGAGAAAGAUAGUAGUCCAGAGAGAUGUCCAUCUCCUGCUCCCUCAGAGCCCAUCCUGACCAAUCCUGAAGCAGAAAAAAGCGAGAAGUGCUGUAGCUUGUUGAAGGAGAUAUCAGAAUUGACAUGCCACAUACAGGACGGGACCUUUCUAGAUUCAGUAACUGAUCGCCUUACAGAUCUGUUAAAAGAUAUAAGGCGACACACUCCCCAUGAUGACAUCCUUGACCUUUCCUACGCCCCACCAUCCAAGAAAAUGUGUUCAGCAUCUGCAGAGCACCCAGAAUCAAUUAACACAGUUCCUCUGUAUCUGGAGAAGAUAAUGAGGGCAACCCAUACAAGUGAAUUUUGAACUACAUUUUUAAGGUGUUACUUCCCUCAAUCGUGAUUUGUGGUUGUAAACAUUUUUGUCAUUAAAAUGCUUUAAUUUUUUGGAAUAAUUGAGUUGUAAUUUCUGUUAUUCCGAUAUAACAUGAUUGAUGUAGCCUAACAAAACCUCAAGUAGUGUGAUAUCAUUGUCCUUUGCUUUCCUGACAAAAGUACCGUGCUGGUCAUUAAAAUACGAAAAAAAGUGAAUUUUACUAAUGUGAAGAUUCUCUCUAUUGUACAGUGGAGUUCAAAUAUUUGGGGCCGGUAAGAUAUUUGAAUGUUUUUGAAAGAAUUCUCUUCUGCUCACCAACGCUGCAUUUAUUUGAUACAGUAAAACAGGAAUAUUGUGAAAUAUUAUUACAGUUUAAAAUACCUGUUUUCUACUGGAAUAUAUUUUUAAAUGUAAUUUAUUCCUGUGAUGCAAAGCUGAAUUUUCCAGCAUCAUUACUCCAGUCUUCAAUGUCACAUGAUCCUUCAGAAAUCAUUCUAAUAUACUGAUUUGCUGCUUAAGAAAUACAGGUGCUGGUCAUAUAAUUAGAAUAUCAUCAAAAAGUUGAUUUAUUUCACUAAUUCCAUUCAAAAAGUGAAACUUGUAUAUUAUAUUCAUUCAUUACACACAGACUGAUAUAUUUCAAAUGUUUAUUUCUUUUCAUUUUGAUGAUUAUAACUGACAACUAAGGAAAAUCUCAAAUUCAGUAUCUCAGAAAAUUAGAAUAUUACUUAAGACCAAUACAAAGAAAAGAUUUUUAAAAACUUUGGCCAACUGAAAAUUAUGAGCAUGAAAAGUAUGAGCAUGUACAGCACUCAGUACUUAGUUGGGGCUCCUUUUGCCUGAAUUACUGCAGCAAUGCGGCGUGGCAUGGAGUCGAUCAGUCUGUGGCACUGCUCAGGUGUUAUGAGAGCCCAGGUUGCUCUGAUAGUGGCCUUCAGCUCUUCUGCAUUCUUGGGUCUGGCAUAUCGCAUCUUCCGGACCUCAAGCAACGUGGAUUGUGUGCCUCUCCUCUCUUCCUCCAGACUCUGGGACCCUGAUAUCCAAAGUAAAUGCAAAAUUUACUUUCAUCAGAGAACAUAACUUUGGACCACUCAGCAGCAGUCAAGUCCUUUUUGUCUUUAGCCCAUUCUGACGCUGUCUGUUGUUCAAGAGUGGCUUGACACAAGAAUGCGACAGCUGAAACCCAUGUCUUGCAUACGUCUGUGCAUAGUGGUUCUUGAAGCACUGACUCCAGCUGCAGUCCACUCUUUGUGAAUCUCCCCCACAUUUUUGAAUGGGUUUUGUUUCACAAUCCUCUCCAGGGUGCGGUUAUCCCUAUUACAUGUACACUUUUUUCUACCACAUCUUUUCCUUCCCUUCGCCUCUCUAUUAAUGUGCUUGGACACAGAGCUCUGUGAACAGCCAGCCUCUUUAGCAAUGACCUUUUGUGUCUUGCCCUCCUUGUGCAAGGUGUCAGUGGUCGUCUUUUGGACAUCUGUCAAGUCAGCAGUCUUCCCCAUGAUUGUGUAGCCUACAGAACUAGACUGAGAGACCAUUUAAAGGCCUUUGCAAGUGUUUUGAGUUAAUUAGCUGAUUAGAGUGUGGCACCAGGUGUCUUCAAUAUUGAACCUUUUCACAAUAUUCUAAUUUUUUGAGAUACUGAAUUUGGGAUUUUCCUUAGUUGUCAGUUAUAAUCAUCAAAAUUAAAAGAAAUAAACAUUUGAAAUAUAUCUGUCUCUGUGUAAUG
ensembl:lncRNA